GAUGAACGCUGGCGGCGUGCCUAAUACAUGCAAGUCGAGCGAACAGACGAGGAGCUUGUUCCUCUGAUGUUAGCGGCGGACGGGUGAGUAACACGUGGAUAACCUACCUAUAAGACUGGGAUAACUUCGGGAAACCGGAGCUAAUACCGGAUAACAUGUUGAACCGCAUGGUUUAACAGUGAAAGACGGUCUUGCUGUCACUUAUAGAUGGAUCCGCGCCGCAUUAGCUAGUUGGUAAGGUAACGGCUUACCAAGGCAACGAUGCGUAGCCGACCUGAGAGGGUGAUCGGCCACACUAGAACUGAGACACAGUCCAGACUCCUCCGGGAGGCAGCAGUAGGGAAUCUUCGGCAAUGGGCGAAAGCCUGACGGAGCAACGCCGCGUAAGUGAAGAAGGUCUUCGGAUCGUAAAACUCUGUUAUUAGGGAAGAACGAAUGUGUAAGUGGCUAUGCACGUCUUAACGGUACCUAAUCCGAAAGCAACGGCUAACUACGUG
rnacentral:rRNA from 1 species